rfam:Stegodyphus mimosarum contig120855, whole genome shotgun sequence.
GCCUUUGUGGCGUAAUGGCCAGCACACUUGGCGCGUAUUCGAGAGGUCCCAGGUUUGAGUCCCGGCGAGGGCA